ensembl:snRNA U6 U6 spliceosomal RNA
GUGCUCGCUUCGGCAGCACAUUACUAAAAUUGGAACGACAUGGAGAAGAUUAGCAGGGCCCCUGUUAAAAAUAAAAAAAAAAGAAAGAAAAAAGAAGCAUUAGUCU